GAGAUCGCUCAGUGUCUCGUGGGCUCGGAGAUGUGUAUAAGAGACAGGCUUUAGGGCUAGCCUCAAGCGUAGAGAAACGGAGGUAGAGCACUGAAUGUCCUAGGGGGUAUUGCACUUACCGAAGACUAUCAAACUCCGAAUGCCGUUUUCUUUUACUUGGGAGUCAGACUGUGGGUGAUAAGAUUCAUAGUCAAAAGGGCAACAGCCCAGAUCGUCAGCUAAGGUCCCUAAAUGUACGUUAAGUGGUAAAGGAUGUGGGAUUGCACAGACAACCAGGAUGUUGGCUUAGAAGCAGCCACUCAUUUAAAGAGUGCGUAAUAGCUCACUGGUCGAGUGAUCCUGCGCCGAAAAUUUCCGGGGCUAAAACGUACUACCGAAGCUACGGCAUCAUUUAUGAUGGGUAGGGGAGCUUCGUAUGCAGGCUGAAGCAUGACCGUAAGGACAUGUGGACAGUAUACGAGUGAGAAUGUUGGCAUGAGUAGCGAGACGUGGGUGAGAAUCCCACGGGCCGUAAACCCAAGGUUUCCAGGGGAAGGUUCGUCCGCCCUGGGUUAGUCGGGACCUAAGCCGAGGCCGAAAGGCGUAGGUGAUGGACAACAGGUUGAUAUUCCUGUACCGCCAAUAAGCGUUUGAGAGAUGGAGUGACACAGUAGGAUAAGCUAACCGUACUGUUGGUUAUGUACGGCUAAGCAUUGAGGCAGUCUAAAUAGGCAAAUCCGUUUAGACAAUGCUAGGAUGUGAUGGGGAAGCCCUUCGGGGCGAAGUAGCUGAUUUCACACUGUCAAGAAAAGCUUCUAUCGAGUUUAAAGGCGCCCGUACCGUAAACCGACACAGGUGGGUGAGGAGAGUAUCCUAAGGCCAGCGAGAGAACUAUUGUUAAGGAACUCGGCAAAAUGACCCCGUAACUUAGGGAGAAGGGGUGCCUGUCUAUGACAGGCCGCAGAGAAUAGGCCCAAGCGACUGUUUACCAAAAACACAGGUUUCUGCUAAGUCGCAAGACGAUGUAUAGGAGCUGACGCCUGCCCGGUGCUGGAAGGUUAAGGGGAUCUGUUAGAGCAAUCGAAGCAGUGAACUUAAGCCCCAGUAAACGGCGGCCGUAACUAUAACGGUCCUAAGGUAGCGAAAUUCCUUGUCGGGUAAGUUCCGACCCGCACGAAAGGCGUAACGAUUUGGGCACUGUCUCAACAAUAGACUCGGUGAAAUUGUAAUCCCGGUGAAGAUGCCGGGUACCUGCGACAGGACGGAAAGACCCCAUGGAGCUUUACUGUAGCUUGACGUUGGGUCUUGGUACUACAUGUACAGGAUAGGUGGGAGACUAUGAAGCAUGGACGCCAGUCUGUGUGGAGUCAUCCUUGGGAUACCACCCUUGUAGUACUGGGAUCCUAACCAUAGGCCUUGAAUCAGGUCUUGGAACACCGUCAGGUGGGCAGUUUGACUGGGGCGGUCGCCUCCUAAAAAGUAACGGAGGCGCUCAAAGGUUUCCUCAGCACGGUCGGAAAUCGUGCGAAGAGUGUAAAGGCAAAAGGAAGCUUGAUUGCAAGACAUACAGGUCGAGCAAGGACGAAAGUCGGACUUAGUGAUCCGGUGGUACCGCAUGGAAGGGCCAUCGCUCAACGGAUAAAAGCUACCCUGGGGAUAACAGGCUUAUCUCCCCCAAGAGUCCACAUCGACGGGGAGGUUUGGCACCUCGAUGUCGGCUCA
rnacentral:rRNA from 1 species